GGGUUGUGAGGUUAAGCGACUAAGCGUACACGGUGGAUGCCCAGGCAGUCAGAGGCGAUGAAGGACGUGCUAAUCUGCGUAAAGCGACGGUAAGGUGAUAUGAACCGCUACAGCCGUCGAUGUCCGAAUGGGGAAACCCGGUGCACUCUGUGCAUCAUUGCAGCAUGAAUACAUAGUGCUGCAAGGCGAACCGGGGGAACUGAAACAUCUAAGUACCCCGAGGAAAAGAAAUCAACCGAGAUUCCCCCAGUAGCGGCGAGCGAACGGGGAGCAGCCCAGAGCCUGAACCAGUUUGUGUGUUAGUGGAAGCGUCUGGAAAGUCGCAGGGUACAGGGUGAUACUCCCGUACACAAAAGCACACAAGCUGUGAGCUC
rnacentral:rRNA from 1 species